UCGGCUGCCCUCACAGCAGCACUUACUCACUUCCCCUCGAACAUGCUGGCUCUGCCUGGAGUCCACCUCCGGACUGCGGAGUCUGUGCUAUCUCUGUCCCGGGGACAUGCCAGGGCACUCUGUUCCGAGAGAGACCCCUGCCUUUGGGGGACUCCUCACCACGGCCUCGCUGCAGGCUUCACCUCACAUGAGCGUUUGUCAUGGGAACUUCCCAGUCCUCAGUUCUGCUGCAUCCUGGUGGGGGAGAGAGGGAGACUCACAGAACCCGUCAGGGAUGGGGACGGGCAGAGGGAAGUGAGGCUUAGUUGAGCAUGGGUUUCCUUCUGGAGAAGGAGGAACCGGAGGGGCAUUUAUCAAUUCUAAGUCACUGGGAUUCUGGCAUCAUUGGUGAGGGCUGGCCCAGGAGCGCGGUGAGAAGGUGGGGGCCUGCAAUUGUGAGCGUGGGGAGCAUACCCCUCACCUCCUAAUGUUUGGCCAAUGGGCUGUGCUGGCCUGAGAGGGGAGGGCCAGAAACGAGCCAGCACAAGCAGGUCAACCUUUCCUGUUGUUGAGCACACCACAAGGAGGUCAUGCCCCAGACAGCUGCUGUCCCUUCCGGGUGGGUCCGGACGAGACGUGGAGAAACCUGAGCCCAGCCUGGGGUCUGGGGCUCCUGACCCACAGCCUGAGGCCACGCUGUCCAGUCAACCCACUGAGCCAGGUGAGGUCAUUUCUCGUGGUGACUGGAGAAAGCUCUCUACAGAAACGCCUGUCAUCCAUGCCUUCACCUACGCGAGAGCAUCCUCUGCUCCCUAGACCACACCAGGACAGUUCUGCACGGACCUAAGGAGCUCACAGCCCAGCCCCCUCCCCGGGGAAAUCUCUGCACUCCGGACUGGUAAUUUCCAGGGCAUGGUCUGCCUUUCUCAGCUUCGUGGGAAGCACCUUUGGUUCAGCCUCGCUGGUGAGGGUGGAGGCUGCCUCCCGUCCCCUCCUUGUUCACCAGCAGGCGUCAGCAGGGCUGCUAUUGGACCCCUUUAGACCAAGGCGCAACCUGGCUCCUCUGUUCUCAACAGGAUCAGAAAUGUCACGCUGAACAGAUUCAGAGGUCCACUACGUGGCACGUAGCAGCCAUUCAUUCACUCACUGUGCCUGCUCCCUUGAGCCUGGCUGUAAUCUGGCUGAUAACUGGUUCUGGGGUAAAAAUGGUCCUUUGCCCAAGCUACUGAUGGAAUCACAGAGACGAUGGGGAAAAUCAGUGGUGCAAUGCUGCAGGUGAAAUUGAUGCAGACCCAGGCUUCAGACCUGUUCUCC
rnacentral:lncRNA from 10 species